UAAUGUUGGUGUGUAUAUAUAUGGGUGUACGGGAUAUAAAUGGGUCUGUGUAGCACGAGUGAUUUAAAAUAUAUAGUUGUAUUUAGGCACUGGGAUUGCACAAUCACUUCACGUGCUGAUAAAGUAUGUAAUAGUAUGUGAGCACAGGGAUUGCACAAAUUAGUUCACGUGCUGGGAUUCAAGUGAAUAAUUAAUUAGUAAUUAAAUCCCGACUCAAUUGUAUAUAUAGAGGCACGAAGGACUCACUUGGGGUUGGGUGUUCGGUGAGUAGAGAACGGGCGAGAGAAGGAGAAAGUUGUCUGUUACACUGUCGUACAAAUCAGUGGGAUCUGCAGCAUUCUUGGCAGGAGGAACGAUCAUGCCAUUUCUUCCAUUGGUAAACAUCCCAGUGAGGACUCUGGUGAGAUACAUGUACUUCUGUCCUUGUGGAUCGGGUACAGAGUGACCCCUAAAACAUGUCCAUGGGCCAAAUCGAGCACCGUCUUUUUAAAACCUGUAGGUACCAGUAAUUGUUCAAUCACUAUUUUCUAUGUUAUCCACUCUGUACAACAAGUUAUUCUUCAUCAUAAAAUAGGGAUAAGUAUUAGGCAUGUUUUCAUUAUUUAUGGGGGCCCCAUUGAUUACCUUCAUGUUUUCUUUGGCAUGAUACAGGUUCGGGUCCUGCGCUUGCGCAGUCCCAAAGUUAGUGGGUGAUACCUCUAAGUCUGGUAAUUCAAUGUCCUGAACCACUGGGUGGCCGGAUAGAGGAUUAACCUCUUUACUACUGGGGUGCUGGUACUAGGCUCUUCUCUGUCUAUAAGAGAACCUGGAUCCCUGCUAGUACUGGGUCUAGGUGCAUUAACUUCUUCUGUAUUAUCAUUGUCACCAACUAAAACCUUUACAGGUGAAUCGUCCGAGACCACACUUUUUUUCCUCAUUAGGCUGUUGAGUUGAGGUUGCCUGCUUUUGGCUCUGGGUGGUAAUUUCUCCCUCUAUACUUCUGGGGUGCGGUUCCAAUAUGCUCUGGUUUGGUCUCAAUUUUGAGAAAUUUGGGAAAUAUCACCCCAGUAUUACAUUGUAUGACAUGGAUGGUACAACACCAACCUGAUAAUCAAGAGACCUUUUUGCAUCGUUUUUUCAUAGCACAGUUUUUUAUACCAGUUUUUAUAACAUCUACAGCAGUUACUGCAUAAUGUAAUAUUUCUUAGUGCUUGUCAUUUAAGGUUUAACAUAAGUGUUAUAUUACAGUAUAUGACUGUAGUAAACAGCAGUGUGGAGUAGUGGUUAGGGCUCUGGACUCUUGACCGGAGGGUCAUGGGUUCAAUCCCAGGUGGGAACACUGCUGCUGUACCCUUGAGCAAGGUACUUUACCUAGAUUGCUCCAGUAAAAACCCAACUGUAUAAAUGGGUAAUUGUAUGUAAAAAUAAUUGUAAGUCGCCCUGGAUAAGGAUGUCUGCUAAGAAAUAAAUAAUAAUGACUGAGUGACACAAGCAGAGGGUACAAAGCUGUCAGUGUUUUCAGCUUCUUUGUUUGUGGUGAAUUGGUUAUAAUUGAUCAGUUAUUUUUUAAGGCUUAUUUUGUAUUUAUAAAUGUAUCGCGUACCAAUAUGUAUACAUUUUUAAAAUAUUUAUUCAUUGGCACUCAGAUUGUCUUCCUACAGAUGUCAGGACUGCCCAGUCCCUGACCACAUUCCGGCGCCUCCUUAAGACUCACCUCUUCAAACAGCACCUGUAGAACUCCUCUGUUUGUAUCCUGGGUCACUAUCACCCUUCAUGUAAAUGUACUUUAUUUUGCUCUUAUCUGCCCCCUAUUUUACUGCAUUUAAUCCUGUACUUCAGAAUACUGUAAUCUGCCAAGUGUUUAACCUGUAGUACUUUGUAUCUAAUCAUAUCCUGAUGUAACUAUCACUAUUUAAUCAUAUCCUGAUGUAACUAUCACUAUUAUCUGCUGUAUUAUUGAAUUGUGGUUUGUCGCACUUGUACUUUGCUUGAACAAAAGUUAUUGUAUUUCUUGCUCUUAUUGUAUUACUUGUAUUGUAACACUUGAAAUGUAUUUGCUUACGAUUGUAAGUCGCCCUGGAUAAGGGCAUCUGCUAAGAAAUAAAUAAUAAUAAUAAUAAUAAUUGUCUCAAUUUUUAAAAUGUUUA